AUGCCACACACACUUCUACAAAAAGGGGUAUUGCAACCUGUCAAUUAUAAAAAGGUACUUAAGUUUGGCUUAGCCUGCUCUACAGGUGAACCACAAACGCUUGAUGAGGCAUUAGGUGACACAAAGUGCAAGCAAGCUAUGGAAGAAGAGUACAGAGCACUCCAGAAAAAUAAGACAUGGCACCUAGUUCCUCCACGGCAAGGUAAAAAUCUCAUUGAUUGCAAGUGGGUAUUCAAAAUAAAAAGGAAGUCUGAUGGAACUAUUGAUCUGUAUAAGGCUAGACUUGUUGCCAAACGAUUUAAGGAACGGUAUGGCAUAGACUAUGAGGACACCUUUAGUCCCGUUGUAAAAGCUGCCACCAUUCGUCUUGUUUUGUCUAUUGCUGUUUCCGGGGGAUGGAGUCUCAGACAGCUAGAUGUUCAGAACGCGUUCCUUCAUGGUGUUCUGGAAGAGGAAGUGUAUAUGAAGCAAUCUCCUGGGUUUGAGAACAAAAACACACCUUUCCAUGUUUGCAAGUUGGAUAAAGCUUUGUAUGGCCUUAAACAAGCUCCUAGGGCAUGGUACUCCCGUCUCAGUAAAAAAUUACAAGCACUUGGUUUUUUUCCUUCCAAGUCUGACACAUCACCGUUCAUUUACAAUAAGUGCAACACAUCUAUCUUUGUGCUCAUCUAUGUUGACGAUAUUAUUGUUACAAGCUCAUCAGAUGAAGCAGUGACAGGACUGUUGAAAGAUCUUAGUGCUGAAUUUGCACUGAAGGAUCUAGGAGACUUGCAUUUUUUCCUAGGUAUUGAGGUAAGGAAACAAGGAAGUGAACUUCACCUAUCUCAGGAAAAAUAUGCUACUGAUCUUGUAAGAAGAGCUGGGCUACAGGGAUGCAAGUCAUCACCAACACCAAUGUCAAGUUCUGAAAAGAUUUCUCUUACAGAGGGAGAACUCCUGAAUCAGGAAGAUAGCACCAAGUACAGAAGCUUAGUUGGUGCACUCCAGUACUUGACACUUACAAGACCAGAUAUUUCUUUUGUUGUGAACAAAGUUUGUCAGUUUCUUCAUGCUCCCACUACAGUUCAUUGGACUGCUGCAAAACGGAUAGUAAGAUAUGUCAAAGACACUGUUAAUGUUGGUCUUACUUUCUCUAAGUCUACUUCAACUCUUGUCAGUGCAUUCUCUGAUUCUGACUGGGCAGGAGAUAUUGAUGAUAGGCGCUCUACUGGUGGUUUUGCAGUAUUCUUUGGACCUAACCUAAUAUCUUGGUGUGCAAAGAAACAGGCUACAGUCUCAAGAUCAAGUACAGAAGCAGAAUACAAGGCUUUGGCUAAUGCAACAACAGAAAUUAUCUGGGUUCAAUCCAUGCUCAGAGAACUUGGAAUAAAAUAUACUCAAGCUCCAUGUCUUUGGUGUGACAAUCUUGGUGCCACCUAUUUGUCUGCAAAUCCUGUGUUUCAUGCAAGAACAAAACAUAUUGAGAUUGACUUCCACUUCGUUCGAGAAAGGGUUGCUAGCAGGAAGCUUGAGAUCCGGUUUGUGCAUUCUAGAGAUCAAGUUGCAGAUGGCUUCACCAAGGCAUUGCCUACAAGGAGUUUUGAAGAAUUCAAACGUAAUCUCAACUUAACAAAGUUGUGA
rnacentral:rRNA from 1 species